rnacentral:rRNA from 1 species
GACGAACGCUGGCGGCGUGCUUCAUACAUGCAAGUCGAACGAGAAGCUGACUUCGGUCAGUGGAAAGUGGCGGACGGGUGAGUAAUAUGUAGGAAAUCUGCCUUUAGGAGGGGGACAACAGAGGGAAACUUCUGCUAAUACCCCAUAUGAGCGUAGCUGAAAUGCUAUUCUUGAAAACUCCGGUGCCUAAAGAUGAGCCUGCAUCUGAUUAGCUAGUUGGUAGUGUAAUGGACUACCAAGGCGACGAUCAGUAGCUGGUUUGAGAGGAUGAUCAGCCACAAUGGAACUGAGACACGGCCCAGACUCCUACGGGAGGCAGCAGUAGGGAAUUUUACGCAAUGGGCGAAAGCCUGACGCAGCAACGCCGCGUGAACGAUUAAGCCCUUCGGGGUGUAAAGUUCUGUCAGUGGGGACGAAACUUGACGGUACCCACAGAGGAAGCACCGGCUAACUCCGUG